rnacentral:rRNA from 1 species
AUUGAACGCUGGCGGCAGGCUUAACACAUGCAAGUCGAGCGGGGAGAUUGCUUCGGUAAUUGACCUAGCGGCGGACGGGUGAGUAAUACUUAGGAAUCUGCCUAUUAAUGGGGGACAACAUCUCGAAAGGGAUGCUAAUACCGCAUACGCCCUACGGGGAAAGCAGGGGAUCACUUGUGACCUUGCGUUAAUAGAUGAGCCUAAGUCGGAUUAGCUAGUUGGUGGGUAAAGGCCUACCAAGGCGACGAUCUGUAGCGGGUCUGAGAGGAUGAUCCGCCACACUGGGACUGAGACACGGCCCAGACUCCUACGGAGGCAGCAGUGGGGAAUAUUGGACAAUGGGGGAACCCUGAUCCAGCCAUGCCGCGUGUGUGAAGAAGGCCUUAUGGUUGUAAAGCACUUUAAGCGAGGAGGAGGCUCUCUUGGUUAAUACCCAAGAUGAGUGGACGUUACUCGCAGAAUAAGCACCGGCUAAC